UGGGGAAUAUUGCGCAAUGGGGGAAACCCUGACGCAGCAACGCCGCGUGAGCGAAGAAGGCCUUCGGGUUGUAAAGCUCUGUCGAAAGGGACGAACCCGCCUGGUGCUAAUAUCACUAGGCGCUGACGGUACCUUUAAAGGAAGCACCGGCUAACUCCGUGCCAGCAGCCGCGGUAAUACGGAGGGUGCAAGCGUUGUUCGGAAUUACUGGGCGUAAAGCGCGUGUAGGUGGCUUUUUAUGUCGGGUGUGAAAGCCCUGGGCCUAACCCAGGAAGUGCGCCCGAAACUGAAAAGCUUGAGUACGAUAGAGGAGGACGGAAUUCCUAGUGUAGAGGUGAAAUUCGUAGAUAUUAGGAAGAACACCGGUGGCGAAAGCGGUUCUCUGGAUCGAUACUGACAC
rnacentral:rRNA from 1 species